AAUCUCUAGAAGUCACUGCAAAGAGCUGCACAUGGAGAUUCAUGAGUGUGGAAUCAGUCAACAAACUAUGGUGGAGGGUCUUCUGCUUCUUCAAAUGCAAAGGGUUCCAAGAAGAAUAAGAAGAGUAGUGAUUUGAAAUAUGACAUUUUUGGAUGGAUAAUCCUUGUAGUUGGAAUUGUUACAUUGGUGGGAAUGGCAAGAUCCCAUGGUUCUCCACCUUCAAGAUAAGCCAUAAAGUAAAUGCCAAAUGCUUUUGGGUGUUGAUCAAACAAUUCUGACAGGAUGUCACGUAGUUGAUUGAGUUCUGCAUUUUUAUCGAAGGUGGUCAUUGUAACUGAACUGCUCUUGGUGUUAGGCUAGCAGCAGGAUUCUUCUUGUAUAAUCUUGAAGUUCACAUAUAGUGUGUGGUGAAUCUUGUUACAUAUGACGAUGUGGAAUAUAUUUCUAAGAGGCAGUGGAGAUCAAAUUCAAGGAUUAUCUAAGCUACUUCAGGACCAGGCCCACCACUUUCUCUUAAAUCUUAAUGGAAUCAAGUGCUGGAUAAAGCUGGCAAAUUCAGAGUGGAUGCCUUUCUAUUAGUGAAACAAAUCUCAAAGAGAAUGAGAGAGAUAUGUUCUUUAAAACACCAGAUAGUGGGAACAAAUUCCUAGAUAUGUUGUUAGGAAGUAGCAUGAUAAUGUUAAAUUAAUAGAAGUUUACAAGGCAUUCCACUUUGAUUAGUUUUUAUAAGGAUUUCUUG